rnacentral:rRNA from 1 species
UACAGAGGGUGCGAGCGUUAAUCGGAAUUACUGGGCGUAAAGCGUGCGUAGACGGUUUCGUAAGUCGGGUGUGAAAUCCCCGGGCUCAACCUGGGAAUUGCAUUCGAAACUGCGAGGCUAGGGUACGGAAGAGGGAAGCGGAAUUUCUGGUGUAGCGGUGAAAUGCGUAGAUAUCAGAAGGAACAUCAGUGGCGAAAGCGGCUUCCUGGUCCAGUACCGACGUUCAGGCACGAAAGCGUGGGGAGCAAACAGGAUUAGAUACCCUGGUAGUCCACGCCUUAAACGAUGAGAACUAGACGUUGAGAGGGUUAGCCUCCCAGUGUCGCAGCUAACGCGCUAAGUUCUCCGCCUGGGGAGUACGGCCGCAAGGUUGAA